UGGUAGUUACCGUUGUUUCAG
rnacentral:siRNA from 1 species